rfam:Desulfovibrio gigas DSM 1382 = ATCC 19364 genome.
CAAGAAGAUUCCAAGGGCAAUCGGUGGAUGCCUUGGCGCUGACAGGCGAUGAAGGACGCGGUGGGCUGCGAUAAGCCUCGGGGAGCCGCCAAACAGGCUUUGAUCCGGGGAUUUCCGAAUGGGGCAACCCGGCUGGAGUUAUGUCCAGUCAUUCCUUGUCUGAAUACAUAGGACUUGGAAAGCAAACUCGGGGAAGUGAAACAUCUCAGUACCCGAAGGAAAAGAAAUCAAACGAGAUUCCCUUAGUAGCGGCGAGCGAAAGGGGAGGAGCCCAAACCGUGCGUCUGCGGACGUGCGGGGUUGUAGGACCCUCACAAUGGAUCCGAAAGUAGGCAGCAGAAGGCGUUGGGAAGCGCCGCCAUAGCGGGUGAUAGCCCCGUAUGCGAACCCGAAAUCGGCCAGGAGGGCACCUGAGUAGGGCGGGACACGAGAAAUCCCGUUCGAAUCUGGGAGGACCAUCUUCCAAGGCUACAUACUCGUCAGCGACCGAUAGUGCACCAGUACCGUGAGGGAAAGGUGAAAAGAACCCCUGAUAGGGGAGUGAAAUAGAACCUGAAACCGAUUGCCUACAAGCAGUCCGAGGGGCUUCGUGCCCUGAGGGCGUGCCUUUUGCAUAAUGAGUCAGCGAGUUACUUUCAUGGGCAAGGUUAAGCGUAAGCGGAGCCGUAGCGAAAGCGAGUCUGAAUAGGGCGCCAAGUCCAUGGGAGUAGACCCGAAACCCGGUGAUCUAUCCAUGAGCAGGUUGAAGCUCAGGUAAAACUGAGUGGAGGACCGAACCGUUAUGGGCUGAAAACCAUUCGGAUGACUUGUGGAUAGGGGUGAAAGGCCAAUCAAACCGGGUGAUAGCUGGUUCUCCCCGAAAUAUAUUGAGGUAUAGCCUCAGAUGAUGACUGACGGAGGUAGAGCACUGACAGGGCUAGGGGCCCCACCAGGUUACCAAACCCUUUCAAACUCCGAAUGCCGUCAGUUUACAGUCUGGGAGUCAGACUCUGGGUGCGAAGGUCCAGGGUCGAGAGGGAAACAGCCCAGACCGACAGCUAAGGCCUCUAAGUCCAUGCUCAGUGGGAAAGGAGGUGGGAUUGUUUAGACAGCCAGGAGGUUGGCUUAGAAGCAGCCAUCCUUUAAAGAAAGCGUAAUAGCUCACUGGUCUAAUGAUCCUGCGCCUAAAAUGUAACGGGGCUAAGCAUGGCGCCGAAGCUUCGGGUGCGCCUAGUGCGCGCAGUAGGGGAGCGUUCUCUGCGGGAUGAAGGGGAGCCGGAAGGCCACCUGGACUGCAGAGAAGUGAUUAUGCUGACAUGAGUAACGAUAAAAGGAGUGAGAAACUCCUUCGCCGUAAGCCCAAGGUUUCCUGGGUAAAGGUAAUCUUCCCAGGGUGAGUCGGCCCCUAAGGCGAGAGCGAAAGCUGUAGUCGAUGGGAAACGGGUUAAUAUUCCCGUACCUGUUCAUUCGCGCGAUGCGGGGACGCAGAAGGGUAGACCAUCCGGCUGUUGGAAUAGCCGGUGCAAGCAGGUAGGCCGGACUCCCAGGCAAAUCCAGGAGUCUAAAGCCGAGACGCGAUGCCGUGACUUCACCGUCUGAAGUGGUUAAGCCCAUGCUGCCAAGAAAAGCCGCUAAGUAUAGUGUGAACAGACCGUACCGCAAACCAACACAGGUGGGCGGGUAGAAUAUACCAAGGCGCUUGAGAGAACGCUGGCCAAGGAACUCGGCAAAAUACCCCCGUAACUUCGGGAAAAGGGGGGCUUUCUAAGGUGCACAUACUUGCUAUGGAAGCCUAGGGAAGCCGCAGAGAAAUGGCGGUGGCGACUGUUUACUAAAAACACAGGACUCUGCGAAGUCGUAAGACGACGUAUAGGGUCUGACGCCUGCCCGGUGCCGGAAGGUUAAGGGGUGGGGUUAGCGCAAGCGAAGCUCUAAACCGAAGCCCCGGUAAACGGCGGCCGUAACUAUAACGGUCCUAAGGUAGCGAAAUUCCUUGUCGGGUAAGUUCCGACCUGCACGAAUGGCGUAACGAUCUCCGCGCUGUCUCGGCCAGCGACUCAGUGAAAUUGAAUUCGCGGUGAAAAUGCCGUGUACCCGUAGAGUGACGGAAAGACCCUGUGCACCUUUACUAUAGCUUGACAUUGUGUUUUGGACAUGCAUGUGUAGGAUAGGCGGGAGGCUGUGAACCAGGCGCGCUAGCGCUUGCGGAGCCACCCUUGAAAUACCGCCCUUGCAUGUUUAAGACCCUAAUCCUACGCCGUUACCCGGCUGGGAGACAGUGUCUGGUGGGUAGUUUGACUGGGGCGGUCGCCUCCCAAAACGUAACGGAGGCAUGCAAAGGUUCCCUCAGGCUGAUUGGAAACCAGCCGUUGAGUGCAAAGGCAUAAGGGAGCUUGACUGUGAGAGAGACAUCUCGAACAGGGACGAAAGUCGGUCUUAGUGAUCCGGUGGUCCCGCAUGGAAGGGCCAUCGCUCAUUGAAUAAAAGGUACGCCGGGGAUAACAGGCUGAUCGCGUCCAAGAGUUCACAUCGACGACGCGGUUUGGCACCUCGAUGUCGGCUCAUCACAUCCUGGGGCUGAAGCAGGUCCCAAGGGUUCGGCUGUUCGCCGAUUAAAGUGGUACGCGAGCUGGGUUUAAAACGUCGUGAGACAGUUUGGUCCCUAUCUUCUACGGGCGUAGGAGACUUGAGAGGGGCUGCCCCUAGUACGAGAGGACCGGGGUGGACGAUCCGCUAGUGGACCUGUUGUCGCGCCAGCGGCAUAGCAGGGUAGCUAUGAUCGGAAAAGAUAACCGCUGAAAGCAUCUAAGCGGGAAACUUGCCUCAAGAUAAGGUCUCCCUGAAGGACCCAGGUAGACUACCUGGUCGAUAGGCCGGAUGUGGAAGUGCAGCAAUGCAUGCAGCAAACCGGUACUAAUAGUCCGUUCGUCUUCUUACU